GUGAACUUGACUGAGAGAGGCAUUAUCUGAGAAGCUAUUGACGCCAAUUUAUCAUUCUGCUUUUUUCUAAAUGAUUUGUACACAGCUGAGUCUGCAGUGAACCUGACUGAGAGAGGCAUUAUCUGAGAAGCUAUUGACGCCAAUUUAUCAUUCUGCUUUGUUCUAAAUGAUUUGUACACAGAAAUACACACAGACUGAAGCUGAUAUCCGGUGUCCUGAGUUUUAUUAGAAUCCCAUACACAACGCAGAUGACGGGGGAGUAGC